UACGGCGGGUGCGAGCGUUAAUAGGAAUUACUGGGCGUAAAGGGUGCGUAGGUGGUUGAUUGAGUUAUCUGUGAAAUUCCUGGGCUUAACCUGGGACGGUCAGAUAACACUGGUUGACUCGAGUAUGGGAGAGGGUAGUGGAAUUUCCGGUGUAGCGGUGAAAUGCGUAGAGAUCGGAAGGAACACCAGUGGCGAAGGCGGCUACCUGGCCUAAUACUGACACUGAGGCACGAAAGCGUGGGGAGCAAACAGG
rnacentral:rRNA from 1 species